rnacentral:rRNA from 1 species
AGAGUUUGAUCAUGGCUCAGGAUGAACGCUAGCGGCAGGCUUAACACAUGCAAGUCGAGGGGUAUAUUUCUUCGGAGAUAGAGACCGGCGCACGGGUGCGUAACGCGUAUGCAAUCUACCUUUUACAGAGGGAUAGCCCAGAGAAAUUUGGAUUAAUACCUCAUAGUAUGUGAGAAUGGCAUCAUUUUCACAUUAAAGUCACAACGGUAAAAGAUGAGCAUGCGUCCCAUUAGCUAGUUGGUAAGGUAACGGCUUACCAAGGCUACGAUGGGUAGGGGUCCUGAGAGGGAGAUCCCCCACACUGGUACUGAGACACGGACCAGACUCCUACGGGAGGCAGCAGUGAGGAAUAUUGGACAAUGGGCGCAAGCCUGAUCCAGCCAUGCCGCGUGCAGGAUGACGGUCCUAUGGAUUGUAAACUGCUUUUGCACAGGAAGAAACAACUCUACGUGUAGAGUCUUGACGGUACUGUGAGAAUAAGGAUCGGCUAACUCCGUGCCAGCAGCCGCGGUAAUACGGAGGAUCCAAGCGUUAUCCGGAAUCAUUGGGUUUAAAGGGUCCGUAGGCGGUUUAGUAAGUCAGUGGUGAAAGCCCAUCGCUCAACGGUGGAACGGCCAUUGAUACUGCUAGACUUGAAUUAUUAGGAAGUAACUAGAAUAUGUAGUGUAGCGGUGAAAUGCUUAGAGAUUACAUGGAAUACCAAUUGCGAAGGCAGGUUACUACUAAUGGAUUGACGCUGAUGGACGAAAGCGUGGGUAGCGAACAGGAUUAGAUACCCUAGUAGUCC